AUACCUUAGGUACCAAGCUCUAACGUGGUUGAAUUUGAACCUCCAAAGGGAAACAGAAACCUUGGAAACACGUGCUUUUUUAAUUCGUCCUUGCAGGCAUUGUAUUUCACGAAGUCUCUAAGGGAAGUACUCACAUAUUUAAAGG